rnacentral:rRNA from 1 species
AAAGGAAUAGACGGGGACCCGCACAAGCAGCGGAGCAUGUGGUUUAAUUCGAAGCAACGCGAAGAACCUUACCAGGUUUUGACAUAGGAGUGACCGGAUCAGAGAUGAUCCUUUUCUUCGGAACACUCCAUACAGGUGGUGCAUGGUUGUCGUCAGCUCGUGUCGUGAGAUGUUGGGUUAAGUCCCGCAACGAGCGCAACCCCUAUCCUUAGUUGCCAGCAGGUCGAGCUGGGCACUCUAAUGAGACUGCCGCGGACAACGCGGAGGAAGGCGGGGAUGACGUCAAAUCAUCAUGCCCCUUAUAACCUGGGCUACACACGUGCUACAAUGGUUCGGAACAGAGAGAAGCGAGACCGCGAGGUGGAGCGAAUCUUUUAAAACGAAUCUCAGUUCGGAUUGCAGGCUGAAACCCGCCUGCAUGAAGUUGGAGUUGCUAGUAAUCGCGGAUCAGAAUGUCGCGGUGAAUGCGUUCCCGGGUCUUGUACACACCGCCCGU